AAUGAACGCUGGCGGCAGGCCUAACACAUGCAAGUCGAACGGAUCCUUCGGGAUUAGUGGCGGACGGGUGAGUAACGCGUGGGAACAUACCCUUUGGUACGGAAUAGCCUCGGGAAACUGGGAGUAAUACCGUAUGUGGUCGAGAGAUGAAAGAUUUAUCGCCAAAGGAUUGGCCCGCGUUGGAUUAGGUAGUUGGUGGGGUAAUGGCCUACCAAGCCGACGAUCCAUAGCUGGUUUGAGAGGAUGAUCAGCCACACUGGGACUGAGACACGGCCCAGACUCCUACGGGAGGCAGCAGUGGGGAAUCUUAGACAAUGGGGGAAACCCUGAUCUAGCCAUGCCGCGUGAUCGAUAAAGGCCUUAGGGUUGUAAAGAUCUUUCAGGUGGGAAGAUAAUGACUGUACCACCAGAAGAAGCCCCGGCUAACUCCGUGCCAGCCGCCGCGGUAA
rnacentral:rRNA from 1 species